rnacentral:rRNA from 1 species
ACGCUCGACACCUACGGAGGCAGCAGUGGGGAAUAUUGCACAAUGGGGGAAACCCUGAUGCAGCGACGCCGCGUGAGUGAAGAAGUAUUUCGGUAUGUAAAGCUCUAUCAGCAGGGAAGAAGAUGACGGUACCUGAGUAAGAAGCCCUGGCUAACUACGUGCCGNGAGCCGGCGGUAAUCUGAGCGGGCGUGGCGAAGGC